rnacentral:lncRNA from 1 species
CUAGCUAGGGUACUACUUAAUUUGAUCUAAAGUUUUAUACAUGAUUAUUCAUCUAGAUAAUUAUUAAUUUACUGGAUAAAUUUUGUUGAACUAGCUCCUAGCAAAAAUUGGCUUUAAAAUCAAGACCCAAAAAUAAAUUAUUGAAGAAAAAUAAUAUAAUCGAGUUAUUUCAAUAAUAAUGAAUAUUAUGAUAAGUAUCUCGAUAA